rnacentral:rRNA from 1 species
UACAGAGGGUGCGAGCGUUAAUCGGAAUUACUGGGCGUAAAGGGCGCGUAGGCGGCUUGGUCAGUCCCGUGUGAAAUCUCAGGGCUCAACCCUGAAACUGCAUUCGAUACUGCGCGGCUAGAGUGCUGGAGGGGAGACUGGAAUUUACGGUGUAGCAGUGAAAUGCGUAGAUAUCGUAAGGAAGACCAGUGGCGAAGGCGGGUCUCUGGACAGUUCCUGACGCUGAGGCACGAAGGCCAGGGGAGCAAACGGG